rnacentral:rRNA from 1 species
GACGAACGCUGGCGGCGUGCUUAACACAUGCAAGUCGAACGGAAAAGCUCUUCCUGUGGGGGAUCCGUGGCGGGCGAACGGGUAAGUCACGCGCGACCAACCUUCCCCUCACGGUUGGAUAACUGCAGUUAGGGCGAGUUCAGACCGUAUAGGAUCACCGCCUGCAUUGGGGGGGGAGGAAUUUAUCGGCGGUUGGGGAUGGACUCGCGGCUUAUCAGCUUGUUGGUGGGGUAGUGGCCUACCAAGGCGUCGACGGGUAGCCGGCCUGAGAGGGUGACCGGCCACACUGGGACUGAGAUACGGCCCAGACUCCUACGGGAGGCAGCAGUGGGGAAUAUUGCGCAAUGGGCGGAAGCCUGAUGCAGCGACGCCGCGUGGGGGAUGACGGCCUUCGGGUUGUAAACCUCUUUCGCCAGUGACGAAGCGAGAGUGACGGUACCUGCAGAAGAAGCACCGGCUAACUACGUG